ensembl:piRNA 21ur-1913 ncRNA
UUCCAGCCAUAUUUAAAUCAA